AUUGAACGCUGGCGGCAGGCCUAACACAUGCAAGUCGAGCGAGCGGCGGACGGGUGUGUGAUGUCUGGGAGACACCCUGAUGGAGAGGGGUAACAACUGGAAACGGUAGCUAAUAUCGCAUACGCUCAGAGAUGCCCAGGUGGGAUUUGCUAGUAGGUGGGGUAACGGCUCACCUAGGCGACGAUCCCUAGCUGGUCUGAGAGGAUGACCAGCCACACUGGAACUGAGACACGGUCCAGACUCCUACGGGAGGCAGCAGUGGGGAAUAUUGCACAAUGGGCGCAAGCCUGAUGCAGCCAUGCCGCGUGUGUGAAGAAGGCCUUCGGGUUGUAAAGCACUUUCAGCGGGGAGGCGUUACCCGCAGAAGAAGCACCGGCUAACUCCGUGCCAGCAGCCGCGGUAAUUC
rnacentral:rRNA from 1 species